UCAACAGGCAGUGUAAGAUGAGAAAGCCACUCAAGCUCUGCAUUUGUCCUAGAGUACAGGUUGGUGUUUACAGAGAAUCAAAGUCUUUCCCAGAGCAACACCAUUUAGGAAGCUUUAUCUGCACUUGAAGGCUUUGGGGAGUUCAUUGCCUGAGUGAGAAGGACAGAUACGUGCAUUAACAUCAAGACCAGGCACAGGAGGCAUUAGGGACUUGAGGAGGAAAAAGGGAAG
rnacentral:lncRNA from 1 species